rnacentral:sRNA from 1 species
UUUCUUCAGAGAAUUCCGGCAGCAACCAAACCUCCUGGCGACCGCUUCCAGGGUUGGCUGUGUCCUGGCCCUUUUCCAUGUGUCAAGCGUCCUCCACAGAGCCCGUGAGCGCAAGAUCUAUUUUGUUUUUCUAUCAGCUCAAGCUCAACAAGCGAAUGACGGGUUGUUGCGCUGCCCCGUCCGAGUGAUCAUUCCAUGCAGCUAUUUGAUUGAUUCGAAUCCCGUUAUAAUCAAGUUGGUUGUUGGCACUGCCCCUGAGACCUUGCAAUGAUUGUGAUCUCCCCAUCUCUCUUUUGCUUUUUCUUUUUCUUUUUCUUUAAUUUUUAUUAUUUAAGGCUCCAUCAUGUAUAAGAGCUACUCCGUGGGGGCGAACACUGCAGCUACCUGUCCAUAUCCAGACAAUCAAAUAUUGCGGCUGGAAAACGAAGCUUCCCCCUUCUCUUUUCAGUGCAAUACUCCUCGUCCUACCUAUCUUGAUUGCGAGGUUGAUUUCCUUGUGUUUGCAAUUUCAAACCCAUCUGAAUUCCUCGUCAAUUCUGCAGCGGGAAUCCAAUGCUGACAAAACAUUCGAGGAAGUCGAUGAACGAUUUGCGCUUUUCACCACAUUCUUUAUUCCGAUUACCAUUUUUAUCGUUAUCCCACGGCAUUUGUUCAAGUUCAAGUUGGGAAUCUCCCGGGCAAUAUUUCAAAAUUCUCUCGGAGAAAAUACGCCUUUUCUAAUUGCGAAACCGUGUUUCUGGAAUAAAAAGGAGCGAGCGGCACUGCCGAUAAGCUCUCUCAUCCAUUACUCGAGAUAGAAAAAAUAGCAACUAUACUGUUUGAUGCGCCUUGAUGGUUUUUAAUAAUGAAUUUUUUUUUUUUUUUUUUCUUGCUUUUGGCAUUUGCUCAUUGGCUUCAACUUUUCUUGUUCUUCGUUUACAAACUUGAUUCACCCACUACGCUCAUUGCCAAACUUGAGAGCGCCCGCUCUGCUUGCUGCGGAUCACUACAUGCGGUUAUCAUAAAGUAGAUUUGACAUCGAACGAUGAUGCUCAGCUACUUCCACCUUACUCCGUAUAUGAAUGAUCGACCGCUAGGUGGUACUUGGCAGGUCUUGGCCACAUAUAUUUCCUCAUCGGGUAUCAAGCUUCUUCUUUGAACUCAUCAUCCCUCGCGCGGAGCAAAGUCAAGCGGGACAAGGCGCACCCCCGAAACAACCAGCAGCGUCUGCAGACCCAAGAUAUUUCCCUGAACCAGUUAGUAAAUAUGAAUCAUACGGCAGGGACAAUGGGCGCAGCAUCUAAGUUCCUUGUCAUGGCCGGUGAAGUUGAAUUUGACAUGGGCGGAGCGUUAUAAAAGAGCCAGAAUGGCCCGGCUCUGGCUUCCUGGACUUUCUUAUUCAUGGCAAACGGAGUGUUCUUUUAGAAUCCCAAGAUAUAAUUGUUUUGCCAUAUCAAUACUAUCAUUCAGGAAAUCAUGUCACCUGAGCCUGAAGUACAAGAGCUAUACCACUAUUCUCCAAACAGAAGUGCAGCCAUUUUCUUCACCGUGGCUUACUCAAUUUCUGCAGCAUUGCAUGAAUUGCAGCAUAGGACGUCUAAACCACAGAAAUUCACAAUCCCAUUGAUGCUAGGCGCCAUUUUUUCGGCCAUAGGUUUUCUCCAGCGCUCCCUUCUCGCUUCUGGCAAGGGAGAUGUUCAAUCUCUCUACACACUGUCGACGAUGUUCAUUCUCGGCGCUGGGCCGACGUAUGCUGGUGCAGACUAUUUCAUCUGUGGACGACUAUUCAGCUUUGUCCCCUCUGCAGCUCCAAUGUCUCCAAUCAGGGUCGUCCGCACGUUUAUCACCUUUGACGUCCUGGCUGAGGUAUGCGUCUGGACCGGUGCUGGCUUACUUGCUGGCGCUCAUACUGACACGGCUGCUCGGUAUAAAAUUGGAUUGAAUUUGAUUCGAGCAGCCAUGAUUACUCAGGCAUUCUUGUUCACAUCGUUCGUGGCCAUUUUAGCAUCAUUUCAUGUCCGGGUCUGUGCACUUCGUGCGGAGUGGUCUGUUACCUCGAAUGGUGGUACGGGUAGAAGGUUUAUGAUGGUUGUGUACUCUCUUUACGCAUCCUCGAUGUUUAUUAUUAUACGAUCCGCCUACCAUAUUGCAGAAACAUUUGUUCCCGAAGGCCACUCGUUUCGUACAAACGAGCAGCCUUUCCUCAUAUGUGAGGCAUUUCUGAUGUUGCUUAACACCACGAUGUUCAAUGCUUUCCACCCUGGCCACAUUCUCCCAAUUGACUCGCGGGUAUACGUAGGCAUUGAUGGACAGGAGAGAGCCAACGAAACAAUCGAGGGCGCUUUCACCGAUUCUCGCCCUUUGCUGCAGAAGAUACUAGAUCCGCUUGAUAUCAAAGGAUUGUUCUCGAGGGAUAAGAAGAGAUGGUAUGAACCUACGGCAGAGCUGGAAAUGGAUAUCAAUUCGACUCAUCAGCUGGUUCAUCAUUAGAAGCUCAGUGAUAGCGAGUGGUACGGUGUCUCAUCAUUUGUCCACUUCAUUUUGCUGUGUCUAUGUAUAUGCCGCGUUAACUUGAGUAAUACCCACCGGGAAGUAAGAUUUGGCUUGGUUAAUUGAAACAGGGGACUAGAAGGAGUUUAGGUUUCUAUAUUUACAAAUGGAAGCUCAUGCAUGAUAGCUAAGUUGUCAACUGACAAAAGCUUUCUCUACAUGACAUAAUAAAUAGGAAUUUAGUAAUAGUGAUUCAAUUUGUUAAUCUGAUAGACUUUUAACAAGGAGCAAGAAAGAAACGAAAGAAAGGAAAGGGAAAGGAACAAAAAAUUGGGCACGGUAAUUUUUGAAACAGAAAUAGCAUCAUCAAAUUUUGUUACUUUAGAGGAAAUCCCUUGGGGAGUGUGGGAAAGAGAGAAGAGAAAGGACACACAAAAAAAAAGACACGUGCUA